rnacentral:tRNA from 1 species
GAGCAUCUCCUUUACACGGAGGGGGUCAUCAGUUCGAAUCUGGUAUCGCCCACCACUUCUAUACUUUCAGAAU